UCGUUGAAGUUCCGACCCGCACGAAUGGUAUAACGAUCUGAGCACUGUCUCGACGCGAGGCCCGGUGAAAUUUCAGUGACGGUGCAAAUGCCGUCUUGAUCACGGAAGGACGAAAAGACCCUAUGAAGCUUUACUGUACGCUGGCAUUGUGACGUUAGUUUGCGUGCGCAGGAUAGGUGGGAGCCUUCGAAGCCCUGGCUUUGGCCGGGGUGGAGGCGACGUUGAGAUACCACCCUCGUGUUCUGACGUUACUCACGGUGUCCCUGAAACAGGGCAUCGAACAGUGCUUGCCGGGCAGUUUAACUGGGGCGGUUGCCUCCUAAAGCGUAACGGAGGCGCGCAAUGGUCGACUAGCGCCGGAUGGAAAUCGGCGCGGUCGUGUAAUCGCACAUGUCGGCCUGACUGUGAGGCCUACAAGCCGAGCAGAGACGAAAGUCGGCGAUAGUGAUCCGGUGCCCAUGAACACGCUUUACCGUGUGUUCACACCACGUGGGUGGGGCAUCGCUCAACGGAUAAAAGUUACUCUAGGGAUAACAGGCUGAUCGCAUCCAAGCGCCCAC
rnacentral:rRNA from 1 species